rnacentral:rRNA from 1 species
GUGGGGAAUAUUCCGCAAUGGACGAAAGUCUGACGGAGCAACGCCGCGUGAGUGAUGAAGGUUUUCGGACUGUAAAGCUCUGUUGUUUAGGACGAAAGUGCCUGUUGCAAAUAGUUACAGGUAUUGACGGUACUGAACGAGGAAGCCACGGCUAACUACGUGCCAGCAGCCGCGGUAAUACGUAGGUGGCAAGCGUUGUCCGGAAUUAUUGGGCGUAAAGAGCAUGUAGGCGGGAAUCUAAGUCUGUUGUGAAAAUGCGGGUCUCAACCCCGUAUUGCGAUGGAAACUGGGUUUCUUGAGUGCAGGAGAGGAAAGGGGAAUUCCCAGUGUAGCGGUGAAAUGCGUAGAUAUUGGGAGGAACACCAGUGGCGAAGGCGCCUUUCUGGACUGUGUCUGACGCUGAGAUGCGAAAGCCAGGGUAGCGAACGGGAUUAGAAACCCCUGUAGUCC